ensembl:lncRNA
AGUGGUGAUUGCUUACUGAAAGCCGAAUUAAAUUGUUUCGAAGAUAAGGGCAAACACCUCAUUGCCCUUCUGCUCUGUCUGCUCAUUGAUGGCCUCUGAGGAGAGCCCUGAGGCUCCAUCUGUGGUAGGAGAGGCCAGAGCCCUAUCUCAGAGCGCUCAACUCCUUGUCUCUGGGGAGACCAAAAUUCUAUCAGGAUAAACCCAUUCUAAUGGGGACAGUUUAGUGUGAAGACAUCUUCCAGGACUUAUUACUCCACAGAUUCCCAGAUGUCAGCAUGAGCAUCACCUGGCAUGUAUACAUGCUAAGUCUCUUCAAUCAUAUCCAACCCUUUGUUAUCCCAUGGACUGUAGCCCACCAGGCUCCUCUGUCCACGGGAUUCUCCAGGCAAGAAUACUGGUGUGAGUUGCCAUGCCCUCCUCCGGGGGAUCUUCCUGACCUAGGGAUCAAACCCGCAUCUCUUAUGUCUCCUGCAUUGGCAGGUGAUGCUGAUGCUGCUGGUCCAGGGGCCUCACUCCGAGAACCAUAGAAUUGAAUGCGAGAGGAGCCACAUUCCAAGAUGGCACAGGACCCAGGGUUCUGACCUCCCCAAAGAGGUCUAAGAGCCAGGCUGGAGUUUCAUGUGCGGUGGUCAGGAGUGCCCCCCACCCCCGAGUGCCUGCCCCUCCCAUGGGGACAUUGCACCUGCCUCCUGCUGUCCAGAGGUGACCUCUGCCACUGAGUCCUUCACAUCCCCAAAGCACCUGGUCAUGCCUCAGUCUACUCCUCGUCCUUCAGCGCAGUGGCUGACACGGUCUCGCUUACUGGAGGGUGAGUUCUCUGGAGGCUGGACUUCGUCUGCAUCUCCUCAGCCCUAAAGGGCAGCAAGGCGCCAGGACCUGCGGGCUCUCAAGAAGUGGUCACUGAAUGGAUGAAGGACGAGCACAUGGAUGAGCCUGCAGACGUGGGGCACAUGGAUCCAGCCCCUUCCGGGAGGCGGUGUAACAACACCAAGGAAAUUCCAGGUCAGAAGGCCGAGCUCCCGGCACUGACACCUACUGGCAGCAAAUCCCCGAGAAACCAAGGGCUGUUCCCGCACAUCAGCUCUCAGGGAAGCUGCCGCCGCGUUUUCAUAAUAUUAAUACCGUUAAAACACCUGAAUCUGGGAAAUAAAAUUUCAUGAAUGAUUUAGGUUCAACCUUUUAGAUCCUGGAAAAUCUGUAA